CUACGGGUGGCUCCAGUGAGGAAUAUUGCACAAUGGGGGGAAUCCUGAUGCAGCAACGCCGCGUGGAGGAUGACGCAUUUCGGUGUGUAAACUCCUUUUAUAUGUCAAGAAAAUGACGGUAGCAUAUGAAUAAGCACCGGCUAACUCCGUGCCAGCAGCCGCGGUAAUAUGGAGGGUGCAAGCGUUACUCGGAAUCACUGGGCGUAAAGGACACGUAGGCGGGUUGGAAAGUCAGGUGUGAAAUCCUACAGCUUAACUGUAGAACUGCACUUGAAACUUCUAAUCUAGAGUAUGGGAGGGGGAGAUGGAAUUAGUGGUGUAGGGGUAAAAUCCGUAGAUAUCACUAGGAAUACCUAAAGCGAAGGCGAUCUCCUGGAACAUUACUGACGCUAAGGCGUGAAAGCGUGGGGAGCAAACAGGAUUAGAUACCCUAGUAGUC
rnacentral:rRNA from 1 species